GAGACCCAGAGGCCUGUUCUGGGUUUGGAGUGCUGACUAUCUGUGCGGAUCGAUGAAGAAUGAACAUAACCAGUGGAGGGAAGUAUAUGAAGGAAAUAGUAUUCUCUCCAAUGCACAAGUUGUUAAAUCAAUAAUUUGGCUGAUGUCAAGCCCUAAAUAAACCAGACCUGAACAUCACAGCCAAGCAGAAUGAAAAUCAAAUCGGAUAAGAGACGGAUGCUGCCUGACCUACUGAGUAUCCCCAGCAUUUUUCUGUUUCAAUUACACAUCCAUUGAUGAUUUUGGACACUGGAUUUAGGCAAAGCUGAAAUAAAUCAAACUCAU